CAAGCCCUUACAACAUCGCCAAGUCAGAACGGUUACAAGGAAGACAGGUUUCUUUUUUGGCGGAUGGAGGUGCGGACGGGGUGAGUAAAUGUUCUGGAAACCUCCAAAAGGGAGGGGGAAUAACUACGAGAAACCGCUAGGUAAAUACCGCAUUACGUCGCAAGACCAAAAGAGGGGGGACCCUUUGGGGCUUUCUUGGCCAUCUGAUGUGCCCCGAAUGGGGUUUAGCUAGUAGGUGGGGUAAGGGUUCACCUUGGGCGACGAUCCCUAGCUGGUCUGAGAGGAUACCACCCACACUGGAAUUAGACACGAUCCAGAUUCCUACGGGAGGCACCAGUGGGGAAUAUUGCACAAUGGGCGCAAGCCGGAUGCAGCCACGCCGGGUGUAGGAGGAAGCCCUUCGGGUUGUAAAGUACUUUCAGCGGGGAGGAAGGGAGUAAAGUUAAUACCUUGGGUCAUUGACGUUACCCACGGAAGAAGCCCCGGUUAACUCCGGUCCAGCAACCGGGGUAAUUCAGAGGGGGCAAGGGUUAUUUGGAAUUACUGGGGGUAAAGCGCACGCAAGGGGUUUGUUAAGUUAGAUGUGAAAUCCCCGGGUUCAACCUUGGAAUUGAAUUUGAUUCUGGCAAGUUUGGAUUUGGUAAGGGGGGAUAGAAUUUCAGAUGUAGCAGGGAAAAGUGUUGAGAUGGGAAGAAUCCCCAUGGGGAAGGGGGCCCCUGGGACAAAGAAUGGAGGUCAGGUGGGAAAGCCUGGGGGACAAACCGGGUUUGGUACCUUGGUAGUCCA
rnacentral:rRNA from 1 species